rnacentral:tRNA from 1 species
GGGCAUAUAGCUCAGUGGUAGACCGUAUGCUUAGCAUGCAUGAGGUCCUGGGUUCAAUUCCCAGUCCCUCCA